rnacentral:rRNA from 1 species
GAUUCCCCUAGUAACGGCGAGUGAAGCGGGACGAGCUCAAAUUUGUAAUCUGGCUGCUUUGCAGUCCGAGUUGUAAUCUCGAGAAGUGUUUUCCGCGCUGGCUGGCAUACAAGUCUGUUGGAAUACAGCGUCAUAGUGGUGAGAACCCCGUAGAUGAUGCCAUGUCCAGUGCUCUGUGAUACACUUUCGAAGAGUCGAGUUGUUUGGGAAUGCAGCUCAAAGUGGGUGGUAAAUUCCAUCUAAAGCUAAAUAUUGGCGAGAGACCGAUAGCGAACAAGUACCGUGAGGGAAAGAUGAAAAGCACUUUGGAAAGAGAGUUAACAGUACGUGAAAUUGUUGGAAGGGAAACGCUUGAAGUCAGACUUGAGGAGUGGUGUUCAUCCGCAAGGAGUAUUCAUCGCUUAUCAGGCCAGCAUCAGUUUUGGGGGAUUGAAAAGGGCGAGUUGAAGGUAGCAGCCUAGCUGUGUUAUAGCUUCUCGCUGGAUUAAUCUUCUGGGACUGAGGAAUGCGGUGUGCUUUUAGCAAUACUUUCGAGUAUUUCACACCUAGGAUGCUGGUGGAAUGCUUUAA